CCGUUUUCUACCGUGUCUUCAUAAAACUUUGAAUAAUUUGUCUAAUUUCUCAGCAUCACAGCUAUAAAUUUCUGUACAUUAAUCCCAUAUUCCACUGCUGGUAAUGAGGAGUUUUAGCCACAGGAGGCAGCAAUGAGCAGGUACUUAUGAUGCAGUCCUGAUAUUAGUCUCUGGGCGGUUUCACCACUGUUUAAAUUACUGCGGUAAAAAUGACCUGUAACGGCCAUUUUUCUGAACAAGGGAUGACGAAUGUGGCACCACUUAUCAGGUACAGUCUUAAAUUUUUCCCCAGGCAAUUUCACCACUAUUCAAACCAAGUUUCUGCAAUGGAAAAUGACCAGGAACUGCCAUCUUUCAUCAGCGGGAUGGGGUCUACUGUAUCACUCAUCAGGUGCUUAUGAUGCAGUCUUGAUGUUCAUCUCUGGGCAGUUUCAACACCAAUCCCACCUUGUUCCUGUUGUAGGAAAUUAUGACGAGCUGCCAUCUGUUAACAUGGAAGGGAAUCUAAUGUACCACUUAUCAGGUACUUAUGAUGCAGUCUUGAUUUUCCUCUCCAGGCUGGUUCACCACUAUUUACACCAAGUUCCUGCAGUGGAAAAUGACCAGGAACAGUCAUCUGUAAACGUGGAAGGGGAUCUCCAGCAACACUUAUCAGAUGCACCACCAGUAAAUGCUGUAUCUGGAAGACAACAAGAGGCAGCUUUCCACUGGAGGAACUCUGCUGUGCAAGAUUUAACAGUUUGAAGUGGGUAGAAAACCAGCAACAAGUAGCAGUUCCUGGACCUCAUGCCAGUUCUAAGUAGGAAAUGGAACAACAGAGAAGAAUGUAAGGACAUCACAAGCAGAAACAAGAGGUAAUAGUGACCAGUGUAAAGUAGAAGAAGUUUGUACCGCAGUAUGAAUACUUUUUUUUUUUUUUUUUUUUUUUAACCACCGAAAGAGGUUCUAGAGAAACAUUUCUUGUGGUCAGAACACACAAAAAUGGUAAAUCCACCCUGAAAACAGAACACAAGUUAAUGCAAUGGACACCAGCCUGGAAUGGGGGGUCUACAGCACCACUUAUCAGCUAUUUAUGAUGCAGUCCUGACAUCUUUCUCUGGACAGUUUCACCACCAGUCACAAAAAACAGCCGGGAACGGCCAUCUCUAAACAUGGAAGGGGGUCUACAGCACCACUUAUCAGCUACUUAUGAUGCAGUACUGAUGUUCAAUGAAGAAUAUCAGGAAAACAGUUUCUCAGAAGUACCCAACACAGAGUUGGCACUUUAUUUGCCUCUGAAAACAACCCUGACAGGUUCUACAGGAACAGUUCUUGUUGUUGAAGCAUGUAGUAAAGUGAUCCUAAAAAGAUGUUAAAGCUCCUGCAGUGGAAAGUGAUGCGGAUCUGCUGCCUCUAAACAUGGAAGGAGGUCCAAUGCACCACUUAUCAGGUAGUUAUAAUGCAGUCCUGACACCCCAGCAGAGUCACCCCCAAUCACACCUUGUUGCUGCAGUGGAGGACGUCUUCAAAAAACGCUUCAUAAUACGUUCUUUUCCCUAAAAAAGGGGCCUAAAACAGGUUCUCAAGGGACUGUGCCUGCAGUUGGAACGUGGUCAAAAGUUCCCAUCUUGUUCCUGCAGUUUAAAACAGUUUAAGGAGAAACUCUGAGACCAAAGCUUCAGAGAUCAGCCUCCACCUGCCAGUCUGUUGUAGAGCAUCUCCAUAAGGUCCAAAGGAGGGAACAGAACCAGAACAAGACCCUUCACAUGUGUCUUUACUAAGUUUAGCAGGACAUUCUCACCAUCUAAACCCCAAAACCCACCGGCAGGUUCAAAAGUCAUGGGAAAAUGGUGAUAAAUGGUGUCACCAAAAUGACUCCAUUUAUCAGAGCCAGAAACUGUGAAGAAAGAUGAAGCUACUGCAUCAAUAAAAAAAACAAAAAACGACUUCAAUUUACCUUAAGGACUCAAAUCUUG
ensembl:lncRNA